rnacentral:rRNA from 1 species
GACGAACGCUGGCGGCGUGCUUAACACAUGCAAGUCGAACGAAGUGGCGAACGGGUGAGUAACGCGUAAUCAACCUGCCCUUCAGAGGGGGACAACAGUUGGAAAGGACUGCUAAUACCGAAUACUGAAGAGGGGGAUUGCGGCUGCUUAGCUAGUUGGCGGGGUAACGGCCCACCAAGGCGAUGAUAAGUCGCCGGUCUGAGAGGAUGAACGGCCACAUUGGGACGGAGACACGGGCCAGACUCCUACGGGAUGGAGCCGGGGGGAAUCUUUCGCAAUGGAGGAAAGUCUGACGGAGCAACGCCGCGUGAGUGAUGACGGCCUUCGGGUUGUAAAGCUCUGUUAAGCGGGACGCGGUACCGGAAUAGAAAGCCACGGCUAACUACGUGCCAGCAGCCGCGGUAAUUC